rnacentral:rRNA from 1 species
AAUCAACGCUGGCGGCGUGCCUAACACAUGCAAGUCGAACGCGAAAGGGGAGCAAUCCCUGAGUAGAGUGGCAAACGGGUGAGUAACACGUGGGUGACCUGCCUUCGAGUGGGGGAUAACGUCCCGAAAGGGACGCUAAUACCGCAUGACAUCCUGCCUUUGGACAGGCGGAGAUCAAAGCCGGGGAUCGCAAGACCUGGCGCUUGAAGAGGGGCCCGCGCCUGAUUAGCUAGUUGGUGAGGUAACGGCUCACCAAGGCAACGAUCAGUAUCCGGCCUGAGAGGGCGGACGGACACACUGGGACUGAGACACGGCCCAGACUCCUACGGGAGGCAGCAGUGGGGAAUUGUUCGCAAUGGGCGCAAGCCUGACGACGCAACGCCGCGUGGAGGACGAAGAUCUUCGGGUCGUAAACUCCUGUCGAGCGGGACGAACUCCUUCCUGGUGAAUAGCCAGGGAGGUUGACGGUACCGCUAAAGGAAGCCCCGGCUAACUCCGUGCCAGCAGCC